AAGAAAGUGAAUUUUCACUUUAUAUAUAGUUUAUUGUUGCAAUAAUAUAGACUACAAGAAAUUAGCUUAUUAAGUAAAAUCUACCUUUAUUCUUAAUUUUACUGUACUUGUUUCUCUCUGAAACCUUCUAAUCAGGUCCUCUGUGGGACAGCACAGAAUAUUAGGAAAGAAUUAUUUAACAGUUUUCUUUAUAUUUAAAAACAAAUCUUAGGGAUUUUUAAAAAAAUCUAAUGGGAAAGUGGAGUUCUGCUAGUUUUAAUUUUUUUCUUUUGAAAAAGAGUUCAUUCCAUAUAGAUUGCUCAACCAAUAAAAAUUGCUAGACAACAGAAAUUCCCAUCUUUUUUUUCCUCUUAUUAUAUCACAAAAUGAACUUUUCUGCAACAAAUUAUGGGUACUUUUGAAUGUAAUAUAGAGACAUAUUUUCCACAGUAUCAAACUAAUUAAGAUCUUAUAGACACAAUUUAAAACAUUCUACCUUUAGUUCUCAUUCUUCUAUAAAUAAGCACACAGUUAUAAAAGUUAUAUUUUACAUUACUUUCUUUCAAAGUGAAUUUGUUUAAGUCAAUUUCUACAAAGGUAGGGCCAAGAGAAAAAGUGAUGUUUUUAAGUAGAUCAUUUUAGAAUGAAAACUCGCAAGACUUGAAGAUUUAAUAUUUUGGUAUUAAAUUCUGGUUUGUUCACCCUGUAUGUAAUUUAGAGCAAGCUACUUACAUCAGUUUCCUCAAUUAAAAUGGGGGUAAUAAUACUUAAUUCUUUAGGUUUUUGUAAGGGUCAGAGACAUCUACUGAACUGAGAGUUUCUUAAAAGUUGGCAUCACAUUUUACUCAUCUUAUUCUUUUUCCUUCUAUGUUUAUUAAUCAUGGUUCCUUAGUCAACUCUUCUGUAAAGUAUGACUAGGUUGUUAGGGACUAAAAUAUUAAUUUUGAUGUACCUUUCCUCUGAAGUCUUCUAAGCACAUCUGUUGUGAUUUUACCAAUUUACUGUUUGCCUACUAGACAUAAUGAAAGUUCGUAUAAGCAUAUGACCUAAUAUUCAAGUUAGUGACUCUUGUUAGUGAAGAUGUUCUAAAUCUGCAUCUAUUUUCCAAUUACUUGUCUAACUUCACAUUCUACCACUCUGCUCUGUGCGCAUUCUGCUACAGACAGAUAGGCCUUCCUGGUGUGUCCCUGGGCUAUUGCACCUGCUGUCUUGAAUACCGUUUUCCUAAAUACCCACAUGGUUUGCUCCUUUAAUACCUCCUCUUCAGCGCAGGUCUCGUCAGUGGGGCCUGCUCUUACACCCUUGCAUGCUGUAUAUCCUAUUUGCCCUAUUGAUGUUUUUCCAUAGUAUUGUUACUGAGAAAAGAGUCACAUAAUUUAUUUGUCUUUAUUUUGUUUGCUUGCUUAUUAUCUGUCUUCUUUCACUAGAAUGAAGCUUUGUUAGGCUAGGCCCUUUGUUUUGUUCAUGUAGUCGAUACUCAAUAAAUAUUUGCUCAAAGAAAGGUUAAAUGAUUGAACAAAUGACUUAUUGCACAUAGAGAGGAUUUCAAAAUACUUCCUUGUAUUCUCCACAUCAAGAGAGGACUCACUAACACAGUUCUAGGGCAGAAUGUAAAUACUUUCAUGUUCAGUACCUCUUUCUAUUUCUUAUUGUUACAGCUGUCUUUUCCAUUACAUUAUAAAGUCUUUGGGAGUUGGUGAUCAUGUUUAUUUAUUUCUCUAUCAUUCUUUGAGCACCAGGCUUGGCACAUAGUAGGCUCUCAUACAUUCAUUAAAAAAACGAGACUGGUACCAUCUAGCUUUUGUAGUUGUCCAAGGACUGUGAUAUUAAAUUUGAUAUAGUUUUGCUAUAUAUAUAGCUAUAACCAUAAAAAGAUAGUUAAAACAAAUAUAUAUACUAUAUAUAGCAUAACUAUAUUUAUAAAUAUGUAGUAUAACUAUAUAUAGCAUAACUAUAUAUGGUUAUAGAUAUAUAGCAUAACUGUCAAAUUUAUAUAUCAUAUAUAAUCUUUUACAUAUAACUUUAAGAUCAUUAAAGAUUGUUAUCUCCACCUUAAAGAUUUACUGAUGAGAUAUUAUGAUGUUAGAUUCACUAUGCACUAAUAUAAGGGUAAGUUUAUCAAAAUAACUAUGUGGAUAUUGGUGAGUUGAGACCACAAGAUAAAUGGAAUCAAUUGAUAGCAACCUUUAAUGAAUCUUUUAUAUACAUUAAACUAUAAAAUUUAUAUAUAUCAUAUAUAUACACAUUUGAUAUAUAUCAUAUAUUUCUUCAAGGAUUAAAAAAUUCAGUCAGGUAUUUAGAGUGUUUCUUUUCUUGCUCAUAGAGAUAUCUAAAUAACAUUUAAUUUCAACUCCCUAGCCCCAGGCACUAUUAAGAUAGACUUCUAACUUUCCUGCAGAAGAAAAGCUUCUGAAUUAUGUUAGCAUUAAAAAGUCAGUGGGGUCUGUGGUUAGCUUUCUUUAAAAGGCAAUUCUGGGAGGAAAAAAUUUCUGAUUAGCCAUUUUGAGCCCCACUUUCUGGAGUGAGAUUCUGUGAAGUGUUUCAAUAUUAGGUUCAUUUUUGUAAACCUAUGCACACUAGCUCUUUCACAGAACCAGAAUGAUUUUCCUGGAUCAAAGAUUUGCUUAAAAGUCAUUCUUUCAUUAAUGGUGAAGUGUCGAUUUUGUUACAAUGAAAUUCUAAGAACUCCCUGUAGAAAUUAAUAGAUACGUUAAAAAAAUUCAAUGCAUUGUGCUUUCUAUAUAAAGGCGAUGCUUUGGAUCCUGCCUAAAUGUCUUUGGCACUUUGAGCUGUUUUCCCAACAAUACUAUUGGAACCAUAUGUGAAAGAUGACUGCCUGGGGUUGUGGGUAUAGGCUCUGGUCUUCCUAAAGAGUAGAUAUAUGUUUGAAUUUAAUAGCUAAAAGCUGGAUGCAUGCCUGGAGACAGUCAGGAAAACUGCUUUUUGUUGGUGUGAAAUGAAUUAGACAUCAGCAUGUCUGGGUCUUCCCCCCAAAUCUUGCCACUUUCUAGUUAUGCCUGUCAUUUAUCCUCUCUGGAUCUCAUCUCUAUAAAAAGUAUUUCAGAAAUACUGAGAUCCUAAACAUUUAAACAACCUUAGUGUUUUUCUGCUUUCUGACUUUCCACCCCACUCUAUCAAUCAUAUCCAUAAAUCUCCAACUUUCAAUAUGCCCUACCUAGAAGAUUAUAAAUAAUGGUUUUUAAUGGUGAAAGUAAUUACCUUAAGAGUAGGCACAUAGUGUCUCAUAAUGUAUAUGUCAAUUUACUGAAAGUGACCAUUUAUUUGACUUAUUUACUUUUACUCUAAAGAGUGGCUGGAUAAUAACCUGUUGGAUCAUGCAGCAAAGAGCAACUGUAACCGGAUCCUCUUCUUGUUGACAGAAGGUCGACGUGGCUGUCUUCGCUGUGUUGACUGACAUCUCUGUUCUGAGUAAUAAUUAGGUAUCUUUAUACCUUUGCUUGCUUCACCAGGAAUAUCUAUUGUUGACCGAGGCAGCAGAAGUGGAGGCCACACCUGAAGGAUGCGGACAUGUUUCCAGUGACAUUAUCUGGAGUAUUAAUGAUUUUACCAUUUGUUCCUCAUCAUUUGCAACAAUUUUUAUUUUUUUCUUUAAAAGGAGAAUGAGCAAGUCAAAGACCACAUUAUUUAUUCAGUCUUGGAUUUUUGUUUCUUUCUAGACAGUCAAGUGAGUUUAGUCUUGAGUCUAUGGCCAUCUUAGAUGGUUUGUGCACAAAGUCUUUGAGUGAAUUCAAUUUUCAGAAAGACAAAAUGCAGUUUGGGAUCUACUUCAUGUCUUAAGACAAUUGAUUCAAUUUAUCUCCUGGCCCCAGUCCACCAAAUCCACAUAGUUAUUUUGGUAAACUUACCCUUAUAAUAGUGCAUAGAGAACUUAAUACCAUAAUAUCUCAUCAGUAAAUCUCUAAGGUGGAGAUAACAACCUUUAAUGAUCCAUUAAACAUUCCUGAUACGAGAUGAAUCAGGAAUGUGAUACCAAGCUGCACUCACUCAUGCAAGCCAGAAACCUGGUGAUCACCUUGACACCUUUCUUUCUCUUCCUUACUCCCUACAGCUAAAUAGUCCCCAAGUCCUAUUGACUUCAUCUCUUACUCAUACCCUGAAGUGAUUAUCUCCAUCUCCAUGGCAACUAUUACUUUCAUUAUUUGGGUCUUUAUUUUGUCUGGCCUUGCAGUAGACAUCUAACUAACCCUGGUCUCUUAGUCUCAAUGUCCUUUCAAUUAAUCUUCCAAACCAAAUUAGAAACCAAACUGUCUAAAUGCUGUCAUGCUGUUUGAAGUCCCUAAAUAGAUUGUUAUCAUUGUUAUCACCACAGAGAAUAGUGCUUGGCACCUAAUAAGUACUCAAUAUGUAUUCUUUAAAUGAAGGAAAGAAUAAAUUAUUUAAGAAAAAGCCCAGGAUCCUUAGCAUGAUCAAUAAGGCCCAUCUCUAUUUUAUGAAUUCUGCUGAUGAUGUGCAGGAGGUUUUGUGAUAAUUUACAACAAAUAUAUUUACUUCAGUGGUUAUAUAUUUAAUUUAUAUGACUUGCUAUUGUUGAUUUUCUAUAUGCAGAAAUGAUAUAAAAUAUACUUCUGACAUAAACGUAUUAAGCUAUAACAGCAAGUUUUUUUUAAAGACAGAACAUUGAAUAGGGGCAGAAAUAAAUCUAAAGCCAUCACAAAGCCAGCAUAAUGAUCACAGACUGUCCACUGAGCUGUAAUUAUUUGCUUACACAUUUGUUUCUCCUCUUAGUCUAUCAGUUCCUCUAGUGAAGUAAUAGUCCUUUCACAAUGCUGGCCAUGAGCUAAAAUUAAAAUGUUUUAGGGGUGAAUAAAGUCAGAAAUAUUCGGUUUGGAUAUUGCCCAGAUAAGGGUCUGGGUUAAUUUUCAUUGCUAAGAUGGUGUUUAGUCAACAUGGCAAUAACAGUGAAGACAUCUUUAAUACUCAACAUUUGAAAUACAUCAGGGAGUAUUUAGACAAGCAUUUUGGACACUGGUUCAAAACAAGUUUUUUUUAAGGCAAUGGCUACAUCAUAUGAAAAAAGUUUCAGUAAAAAGUGAAAAAUUCAGUCAAGUUUUUGAAUGGUCAACUUUCUCAGCACCAAACAUUCAACUCAUAGAAACCAUUUAGAAGACUGAAUCUUAAACUUACUUCAUAGCCUUCCUCUUCUUAUCUCUACUUGUGAAAAGCAUGUAUAGUUGUUUCUUUACAACUAAAAAUGUGUCCUCUGAAAUAACUAUUAGAUUAAAAACUAAUGCAUGCAAUGCACAUUAAGUGGUUUUAUUUAUGGAUGUAUGACUACCUUUUUCCCUUCUCCAAAUUCAUAUAGACUUAUGGAGCACAAGAGCUCAAGGGACCUUGGUAAUAUUCUGACUUUCUCAUUCAGUGAAUAAAAACACCGAAGCUGAGAGAAGUUAACUUGCCUUGGUCUUAAGGCCAGAUUAAGGCAGAGUAGGGACUAGGAGCCAGGUCUCCUGGCAUUCAGACUAGAAUGUAUCACUCUAGGGAAGGCUGCUGCUCUUUCCUUCAGCAUUCCUUCCUCUCUGUUCCUGUAACCCCUAUGCCUGAACUGACCUCCCUUAAGUGGGUAGUCUUUAAAUUGUUUGCAUUAUUAAAUGAACUGAACCAAGGCAGGAAUGCACAUCCUGAACAUUUUUUCCCCUUAAUGGUCCAUUUUUGUAAACAGAUAUUCCCCAGAAUUUCUUCAGAAGAUCACCAUGCUGUAUGAUGGCACACUACUAUAAUAUUCUCCUAGAGCAGAAUUUACCAAAAAGUAGAUCUUUCUGGCACUCUUACCUAUAGGGGUUGAAUCAGUGAAUCAGUGGAGUAAGAAACAGACCUUUAUUGUUAAAAGAGGAUCUUAACAGGCAACUCCAUCAAUUUAUGAAAGAUACUAGGAGGAAGUCUAAUAUAGCUCUUCUUGUUUAGAAUAGAAGAAUUACUUUUUAAAAAGAGCCUCAAGUAAUUUAGAAAUGCAAUUCACUCUCAGAUCUGGUAGGAAAAGUGCCCACAGGAGUAUUCUAUGGUCUAGGUGAAGACACUUAAAAUUAAGUUUUCAUAAACAAUUUUAGAUGACUGAUUUACUAAUAACAAUAACAAUAUCACUGAAGUGGAUACAAGGCCCCAAAGGAGUUUUCGAGACGUGGAUGACAGUGUAUGUAUCUCGAACUGUCCCUAAGAAGGUAACUUGGACCAUGGUAGAGAAUUGGGUGCUUUACUGGGGGCCUAUUAAGCAGCUGCUCACGGCUUUCUUGGUUUACCCUGCUUUUCCAUCUGUUUUACCUGUCUCUAUUUCUGAAUAAUUUAUUUUGCCAUCUGCAUAAAUAGAACACCUGUCUGAAGGCUAACCCUUACAACUAAAUAAUUUAGAGAAAAUAACCUCUUUCAUCUUUAUUGGAAUAAUGUAAUGACUUUUGAGAACAAAGCCCUUAAAUAACUCUUGGGGACAUUUCUUGUGUUUUCACUAUUAUACUAACAGUUUAAAAAGUUAAUAUUAAUAUAUUUUUUAAAAUUAAAAUUUCCCACCUCCCAUUUUUUUUAAAGAUAUCGGUUAUAGCAGCUACUUUGGCUUUUAUAUGUUUCCUGCUAGUGUAUUUCGUCUGUCUUUAGAAGAACGAUUGCAGUUUGUAGAUGGUUAUAAUUUUUUAGACCCUAACUAUAAAAUCUGUUCAACUCUUGACUGCCUGUGAGAAAGGGCAAUAUUUUUAUGUUGUUGUAACAUGAGCUUUUAUAAGAAUUUACUUCAGUAAGUGCUUAUGCCCCUAUUAGCAAAUAGGCUUGGAUAUAUGUAAUAAACAUUUCAUCCUGGAUGAUGUCUGCUUUUGCUGAGGUUAUCUUGGUACAGAAAUUAUUUUAAAUGUUUUUUCACUGUGAAAGGACACUCAACUGUGGUGCAGAUUUGUGAAUUGAAGGUAAGCAGUUGAGUUGAGCUACAGAUCCAUUUAUUAAUAAUCUUAUGAACUCUCAGUCGUUGAAAUGUCAAUGAUUACCAGAAUGCUAAGGAACUUGUAUCAAAUAUCUAUUCAGCUGCUUACUAACUGUAUGAUCUUGGGUGAUUUACUUCAUUUCUCUGAGCCUCAGUUUCCUUAUCUGUAAAAUGGAGAUAAUAAGACUUACCCUUUAAGCUCUAGUGUAUAGCCCCAAGGUAUUCAAUAAAUGGUAACUUUAUGUAGUACUUAUUCAUAUUAAAGACUUAAAAGUGGGCACUUCUUAAUAUCUUGGAUAAAUAAAGAUUUAAAUAGCUUUUUAAAGUUAAUAAUUUUGAAAAAUUUCUAAUAUUUUUUACAUAAUUCCUCUUUUUUAUGUAGAGUAUACUGAACAUAACUUUAAUUGAAAAAUUACGGUCACCAGUGUAGUCAAUGUAAAUGGUAACUGUAUACUAUAUGCUAUGUACUAACUCUGUAGAACAGUUUAGUAAUUUCACAGGCUAGUUAAGGUAGAGGCUACUGUUUAUCCUACUUUUACUGGUGCUGGAUAAUUGUCCUUUUUGAAGUCAUAGAUCUGCUUUUCUUUUUUUUUUGAGAUGGAGUCACAUUCUGUCACCCAGGCUGGAGUGCAGUGGCGCGAUCUCGGCUCAUUGCAACCUCCGCCUCCUGGGUUCAAGCGAUUAUCCUGCCUCAGCCUCCUGAGUAGCUGGGAUUACAGGCACGCACCACUACACCUGGCUAAUUUUUGUAUUUUUAGUAGAGACGGGGUUUCCCAUAUUGGUCAGCCUGGUCUCGAACUCCUGACCUCGUGAUCCACCCCCCCUUGGCCUCCCAAAGUGCUGAGAUUACAGGCGUGAGCCACUGUGCCUGGCCUGCUUUUCUUAAUUUUAUAUCUUCUCCCUGGCUAACAGCUGUCAUUUCUUGCUACAGCUUCUGGGUUUGUUGGUAGCUGUUUCUUUUUUUUAUUUUUAUUUAUUUAUUUAUUUAUUUUUUAUUUUUUAUUUUAUUUUUUAUUUUUUUAAUUUUUUUAAUUUUUUUAAUUUUUUAAUUUUUAUUUUUUAUACUUUAAGUUUUAGGGUAC
rnacentral:lncRNA from 1 species